AAUAACGUCGAGAAAUCGGCGCUAAUACCUCAUAAUGCAGCGGAUCCGCAUGGAUAUGUUCGUAAAGGUUUACCGCCUUGGGAUAGGCUUGCGUCUGAUUAGCUAGUUGGUGUGGUAACGGCACACCAAGGCUACGAUCAGUAACUGGUCUGAGAGGAUGAUCAGUCACACUGGAACUGAGACACGGUCCAGACUCCUACGGGAGGCAGCAGUGAGGAAUAUUUGGGCAAUGCUCGAAAGAGUGACCCAGCAACGCCGCGUGGAGGAUGAAGGUAUUCUAUAUCGUAAACUCCUGUGAGAGCAGACGAAAGACAGAUUAUUAAUCUGGAUGACUGUAUGCUCAGAGGAAGCCCCGGCUAACUACGUG
rnacentral:rRNA from 1 species